AAUUCUCAACCUCUCAAGCUUUUUGUGAGCAUGAUGAGGCUUGGACUUGGGGGUUGCUGGCCUUUGUUGGUUGGCUCCUCUUGAAUGCAUUAGCUGGACUUUUCUGAUCACAGAGUGGUUCACGGUGUGAUAAUUAUCUACGCCAUGGUAAGCCCAUCUCUGAGUUCUGGUCGAGCUCAUAAACCGUCUUAGGACACUUUUCAA
rnacentral:misc_RNA from 1 species